rnacentral:rRNA from 1 species
GAUGAACGCUGGCGGCGUGCCUAAUACAUGCAAGUCGAGCGAACGGACGAGAAGCUUGCUUCUCUGAUGCUAGCGGCGGACGGGUGAGUAACACGUGGAUAACCUACCUAUAAGACUGGGAUAACUUCGGGAAACCGGAGCUAAUACCGGAUAAUAUUUUGAACCGCAUGGUUCAAAAGUGAAAGACGGUCUUGCUGUCACUUAUAGAUGGAUCCGCGCUGCAUUAGCUAGUUGGUAAGGUAACGGCUUACCAAGGCAACGAUGCGUAGCCGACCUGAGAGGGUGAUCGGCCACGCUGGAACUGAGACACGGUCCAGACUCCUACGGGAGGCAGCAGUAGGGAAUCUUCCGAAAUGGGCGAAAGCCUGACGGAGCAACGCCGCGUGAGUGAUGAAGGUCUUCGGAUCGUAAAACUCUGUUAUUAGGGAAGAACAUAUGUGUAAGUAACUGUGCACAUCUUGACGGUACCUAAUCAGAAAGCCACGGCUAACUACGUG